UACGUAGGGUGCAAGCGUUAAUCGGAAUUACUGGGCGUAAAGCGUGCGCAGGCGGUGAUGUAAGACAGAUGUGAAAUCCCCGGGCUCAACCUGGGAACUGCAUUUGUGACUGCAUCGCUGGAGUGCGGCAGAGGAAGGUGGAAUUCCACGUGUAGCGGUGAAAUGCGUAGAGAUGUGGAGGAACACCGAUGGCGAAGGCAGCCUUCUGGGCCAACACUGACGCUCAUGCACGAAAGCGUGGGGAGCAAACAGG
rnacentral:rRNA from 1 species